AGGUUCAGAUCUACAUUAUUUUUUGGUGAUGUUAUGUUAUGAUCUAAUAUGAUUAGAUGCAUAAUUUGUGGUAUUAUUUUGUUUUGAUCUAAUAAGAUUAGAUGCAUGAUUAUGAUAUGAUCACUUGUCUUAGUAGUCUAGUAUUCAGAUUAAGUUAAUCACCAUAACUGUCUGGUCAUAAAGAAGCAAGGAUUAAAGUUUCUCUCUUGUCCAU
rnacentral:lncRNA from 1 species